GACGAACGCUGGCGGCGUGCUUAACACAUGCAAGUCGAACGGAAAGGCCCUGCUUUUGUGGGGUGCUCGAGUGGCGAACGGGUGAGUAACACGUGAGUAACCUGCCCUUGACUUUGGGAUAACUUCAGGAAACUGGGGCUAAUACCGGAUAGGAGCUCCUGCUGCAUGGUGGGGGUUGGAAAGUUUCGGCGGUUGGGGAUGGACUCGCGGCUUAUCAGCUUGUUGGUGGGGUAGUGGCUUACCAAGGCUUUGACGGGUAGCCGGCCUGAGAGGGUGACCGGCCACAUUGGGACUGAGAUACGGCCCAGACUCCUACGGGAGGCAGCAGUGGGGAAUAUUGCACAAUGGGCGGAAGCCUGAUGCAGCAACGCCGCGUGCGGGAUGACGGCCUUCGGGUUGUAAGCCGCUUUCGCCUGUGACGAAGCGUGAGUGACGGUAAUGGGUAAGGAAGCACCGGCUAACUACGUG
rnacentral:rRNA from 1 species